AUUUUUCUGCCAUUAUACUACUCGUUCGGGUUCCUGUUCAUAAAAUUUUGUUCUCUUUGUUAAUCUACUAAUUUUUGCCUUUCUUUUCCUUGCUUAAACCUUUUUCGAUUUUUGCUAGCAUCCUCUCUCAAUUCUUCCCAUUUCUUUCACCUUGUUGUUUAGCCGUCUCCUUCCCUCUCUCUCUAUCUUGGUGUGAGAUAGCUGAAUACCC
rnacentral:lncRNA from 1 species